rnacentral:lncRNA from 13 species
AUGGUGAAGCGUGAUUCAUCACUCCAGAUAACGCGUUUCCACUGCUCCAGAGUCCGUUGGCGGCGAGCUUUACACCACUCCAGCCGAACACUUGGCAUUGCGUAUGGUGAUCUUAUGCGCGUGUGCGGCUGCUCGGCCACGGAAACACAUUUCACGAAGCUCCCGAUGAACAGUUAUUGUGCUGAAGUUUUGAUCCCUGAGAUCUCCUCCCUGUCCUGGGUCACUACCACUGUGCCUCUGGUCAUGGUGCUGUUGAUCACUGCAGUUAAAGACGCCACUGACGACUAUUUCAGGUAUAAAAGCGAUCAGCAGGUCAACAGUCGUCAGUCUCAGGUACUCAGGGGAAAUCUACAGAAUGAGAAGUGGAUGAAUGUACGCGUGGGAGAUAUCAUCAAGCUGGAAAACAAUCACUUUGUGACAGCUGACAUUCUGCUGCUCUCUAGUAGUGAACCAUAUGGACUGUGUUACAUAGAAACGGCUGAGCUAGACGGGGAGACCAAUCUGAAGGUUCGUCAGGCUUUGACUGUGACCUCAGACUUGGGAGCAGACAUAACAAAGCUGGCUGACUUCAAUGGAGAAGUUAUCUGUGAGCCUCCCAACAACAAGCUGGACAAGUUCACAGGUACUCUGUACUGGAGAGAUAACAAGUACCCUCUGGAUAAUGAAAAGAUGCUGCUGAGAGGCUGUGUGCUCCGGAACACGGAGUGGUGCUUCGGAAUGGUCGUCUUUGCUGGGCUGCAAACCAAACUGAUGCAGAACUGUGGGAGGACUAAAUUCAAAAGGACCAGCAUUGAUAAACUGAUGAACACUUUAGUUUUAUGGAUAUUUGGCUUCCUAGUCUGCAUGGGUGUGAUCCUGGCUAUUGGCAACACCAUCUGGGAGCAGAAGGUUGGGAGGAGCUUCAGUGUCUAUCUCCUGUGGGAUGAACCAAUCAGAAACAACAAUGUGGUGUUCUCUGGGUUCCUCACCUUCUGGUCUUACAUCAUCAUCCUCAACACAAUGGUGCCCAUCUCUCUCUACGUCAGUGUGGAGGUUAUUCGUCUGGGCCACAGUUACUUUAUUAACUGGGACAGGAAGAUGUAUUACAUCCAGAAGGACACUCCAGCUGAGGCCAGAACCACCACGCUCAAUGAGGAGCUGGGCCAGGUGGAGUUUAUCUUCUCAGACAAGACAGGAACUCUCACACAAAACAUCAUGGUCUUCAACAAAUGCUCCAUCAACGGGAAGAGCUAUGGUGAUGUUUAUGAUGAAUUUGGCCAUAAAGUGGAAAUUACAGAGAGAACGGCCUGUGUAGAUUUCUCUUUCAACCCUCUGAGUGACAGGAAGUUUAAGUUUCAUGACAGUAGCCUGUUGGAGGCCAUCAAGAUGGAGGAGCCAUCAGUGCAGGACUUCUUCAGACUGCUGGCUUUGUGUCAUACUGUCAUGCCUGAGGAGAAGAAUGAAGGUAAUGUUGAGAUAAUAAAUGGUACAGGUAAUGAAUUUGCUGGUGAAGGCUUGCGAACACUGGCCCUGGCCUACAAAGACCUAGAUGAGAAUGUAUUAGAGGAAUGGAUGAAAAGGCUUCUGUAUGCCAGCACUGUGAUAGAGAACAGAGAGGAGGGACUGGCUGAUCUCUAUGAGGAAAUAGAGACAGGCCUCAUGCUCCUAGGAGCCACAGCAGUAGAAGACAAACUGCAGGAGGGGGUUCCUGAAACAAUCGCCUGUUUGACCCUGGCCAACAUCAAGAUUUGGGUUCUCACUGGGGAUAAGUUAGAGACGGCGAUGAACAUCGGCUACUCCUGCAACAUGCUGAGAGACGAUAUGAACGAAGUGUUUAUCAUAUCAGGACAUUCUGUCUUAGAGGUGCAGCAGCAACUCAGGAGUGCUAAGGAGCACAUCCUGGGCCUGGGUAGAGUCAGCGGUACUGUAGAUGUGGAGAAGACAGAUGACUUCUCAGAGGAUUCUGUAUUUGAAGAAACCAUAAUAGCAGAGUAUGCCUUAAUCAUCAAUGGACACAGUCUGGCCCAUGCCCUGGAGCCUGAGCUGGAGCAGGUCCUUCUGGAGACUGCCUGUCUGUGUAAGACAGUGAUCUGCUGUAGGGUGACUCCCAUGCAGAAGGCCCAGGUGGUGGAGCUGGUCAAGACGAACAAGAUGGCUGUGACUCUGGCCAUAGGAGACGGAGCCAAUGACGUCAGCAUGAUCAAGACUGCUCAUAUAGGUGUAGGUAUAUCAGGUCAGGAGGGCAUGCAGGCUGUGCUAGCCUCCGACUACUCCUUUGCCCAGUUCCGCUAUCUGCAGCGUCUCCUGCUGGUCCACGGCCGCUGGUCCUAUUUCCGCAUGUGCAACUUCCUGUUCUACUUCUUCUACAAGAACUUUGCCUUCACCCUGGUGCACUUCUGGUUCGGCUUCUUCUGUGGUUUCUCAGCUCAGACGGUUUAUGACCAGUGGUUUAUCACUCUCUUCAAUAUAGUCUACACAUCCCUGCCAGUUCUGGCCAUGGGGCUUUUCGAUCAGGAUGUGAACGAAGCCAACAGCCACCGCUACCCUAGCCUGUACCGUCCAGGACAGCUCAAUGUCCUGUUCAACAAGAGACAGUUCUUCCUGUGUACGCUGCAGGGGGUGGGCACCUCCUUCCUCCUCUUCUUCAUCCCCUACGGAGCCUUCUGCCUCGUCGCCAGGGACGACGGAUCACACAUCUCAGACCAGCAGGCUUUCGCCGUCAUCAUAUCAACAUCCUUGGUCAUAGUGGUGAGCGUUCAGAUGCAAUUGUACAAAUAUGCAGAGCAUUGUUUUGAGUCCGAGGGUAUUUUUGUUGUGUUUUUUUCAGGCACAGCCCGUAACUGUCUGACUCAGAAGAGUGUGUGGCUGGUUAUAAUGCUGACCACUGUGGCGUGUGUCAUGCCAGGGUUGGCAGUCCGCUUUCUGAAGACAGACCUUUACCCCACCCUGACAGACAAGGUGCGGAGCCUGCAGCAGGCCAGCAGAAAGCUGGGUCCCAAGGAGCAGAACCUGAGACGUGUUCGGAGGACCAGCUCCCGGCGCUCAGCCUACGCCUUCUCCCACCAACAGGGCUAUGGAGAGCUCAUAACCUCAGGGAAGAACAUGAAGGUCACACCCAGCACCGCUGCCCCGUCCCCAUCCCUGUCCCCGUCGUCCCCUGGAAGGGUCCACAACAGCAGAAGUUUGAUAGAGGGCAUGUCGAAGAGGAAGGGGGAAACACCGGUAGCCUGUGUCUCUGCUGAGGCCUACGGAACAUCCGGAACCUCGGAAGGCAACACUAGAACUCAACAGACUGUAAUGGAUUCUAAUGUUGUUUCCAAUGGGGCCGUUCAGACAUGACCCUUUACGACCAGUUUUUAGAUUCCUAACAAGCUGUUUAGACUAUAAGAUGAUCCUGUGCGUCUACACCUGGCUCAGUGAGUAAGAGUUAGAGCAUGGUGCGGUCAACAUCAGGGUGGGGUUCGAUUUCCCACAUUGGAUCGAUCGGCCACAUAUACAGGUAACUGCCAAAGUAAUGGAAACACUUGAGUAAAUGAGGGUUCUGGCGGCUCUGUUAUGGUGCGAGGUGUGUUUUCCGGCCAUGGUUUAUGUCCACUGAACCCCCUUAGAGGGCAAGGUAAACUCCAAUAAAUACACAGCCAUUCUGAGUGAUACA